rnacentral:rRNA from 1 species
UGGGGAAUUUUGGACAAUGGGCGAAAGCCUGAUCCAGCAAUGCCGCGUGUGUGAAGAAGGCCUUCGGGUUGUAAAGCACUUUUGUCCGGAAAGAAAUCCUUGGCUCUAAUACAGUCGGGGGAUGACGGUACCGGAAGAAUAAGCACCGGCUAACUACGUGCCAGCAGCCGCGGUAAUACGUAGGGUGCAAGCGUUAAUCGGAAUUACUGGGCGUAAAGCGUGCGCAGGCGGUUUGCUAAGACCGAUGUGAAAUCCCCGGGCUCAACCUGGGAACUGCAUUGGUGACUGGCAGGCUAGAGUAUGGCAGGAGGGGGGUUAGAAUUCCACGUGUAGCAGUGAAAUGCGUAGAGAUGUGGAGGAAUACCGAUGGCGAAGGCAGCCCCCUGGGCCAAUACUGACGCUCAUGCACGAAAAGCGUGGGGGAGCAAAACAGGAUUAGUACCCUGGUAGUCCACGCCCUAAACCGAUGUCAACUAGUUGUUGGGGAUUCAUUUCCUUAGUAACGU